GCUACAGGCUUAACACAUGCAAGUCGAGGGGCAGCAUGAACUUAGCUUGCUAAGUUUGAUGGCGACCGGCGCACGGGUGAGUAACACGUAUCCAACCUUCCGUUUACUCAGGGAUAGCCUUUCGAAAGAAAGAUUAAUACCUGAUAGUAUGGUGAGAUUGCAUGAUAGCACCAUUAAAGAUUUAUUGGUAAACGAUGGGGAUGCGUUCCAUUAGGUAGUAGGCGGGGUAACGGCCCACCUAGCCGACGAUGGAUAGGGGUUCUGAGAGGAAGGUCCCCCACAUUGGAACUGAGACACGGUCCAAACUCCUACGGGAGGCAGCAGUGAGGAAUAUUGGUCAAUGGGCGAGAGCCUGAACCAGCCAAGUAGCGUGAAGGAUGACGG
rnacentral:rRNA from 1 species